CUUACCGUCGUUGCCUCGGCGUGAGCCGCGCGUGCCCUGCAGCUACCCCGCGGCGGGCGACCCGGGGGAAGGUUACCCCGCAGUAGACCUACCCCGCGGCGCCCGCCCUUCCAGGGGCAGCUGUGCGGCGCGCGCUAUACGGCCCGCCGGAGGACCGUUUGAACUCUUGCUCCAAGAAAAGCUCGAAAGCUUCAGUAAAUUUCCGCUCCAAAGCCUGCUCGAACGAAAGCUCCAAGGCUCGAAAAAAACUCCUGCUCCAAGGCUUUGCUCGAAAAAAAAGCUCCAAAGCUCGAAAUGAAGCUCCAAAGCUUUUGCUCGAAAAAAAGCUCCAAAGCUCGAAGAAGACUCCUGCUCCAAGGCCUUUGCUCGAAAUAAAUGCUCCAAAGCUCGAAAUGAAGCUCCAAAAGCUUAUUUUUUUUUUCUGAAUUGCUUCAAUUAAAAUUAGUUAAAACUUUCAACAACGGAUCUCUUGGUUCUGGCAUCGAUGAAGAACGCAGCGAAAUGCGAUAAGUAAUGUGAAUUGCAGAAUUCAGUGAAUCAUCGAAUCUUUGAACGCACAUUGCGCCCAUUAGUAUUCUAGUGGGCAUGCCUAUUCGAGCGUCAUUUCGACCCUUAAGCCCUCGUUGCUUAGCGUUGGGAGCCUGCGUCCCCUAGGGGCGCAGUUCCUCAAAGUUAGUGGCGGAGCUAGGGCACACUCUAAGCGUAGUAAGCUAUUCUCGCUUCUGUGGUGUACCUAGCCUCCUGCCGUAAAACCCCUAUACAUCUAGUGGUUGACCUCGAAUUAGGUAGGAAUACCCGCUGAACUUAAG
rnacentral:rRNA from 1 species